AGAGUUUGAUCAUGGCUCAGAUUGAACGCUGGCGGCAUGCCUUACACAUGCAAGUCGAACGCGAAAGGGGGCAACCCUGAGUAGAGUGGCGAACGGGUGAGCAAUACAUCGGAACGUGUCCUGUAGCGGGGGACACCUCGAGAAAUCGAGGCUAAUACCGCAUACGAUCUACGGAUGAAAGUGGGGGACCGCAAGGCCCCACACUAUAGGAGCGGCCGAUGCCGGAUUAGCUAGUUGGUGGGGUAAAAGCCUACCAAGGCGACGAUCCGUAGCUGGUUUGAGAGAACGACCAGCCACACUGGGACUGAGACACGGCCCAGACUCCUACGGGAGGCAGCAGUGGGGAAUUUUGGACAAUGGGCGCAAGCCUGAUCCAGCCAUGCCGCGUGAGUGAAGAAGGCCUUCGGGUUGUAAAGCUCUUUCGGCCGGGACGAAAUGGCGCGGGGUAACAUCCCGCGUCGAUGACGGUACCGGAAGAAGAAGGACCGGCUAACUACGUGCCAGCAGCCGCGGUAAUACGUAGGGUCCAAGCGUUAAUCGGAAUUACUGGGCGUAAAGCGUGUGCAGGCGGUUUCGAAAGUCCGAUGUGAAAUCCCCGGGCUUAACCUGGGAACUGCGUUGGAAACUACGAGGCUAGAGUGCGGCAGAGGGGGGUGGAAUUCCAGGUGUAGCAGUGAAAUGCGUAGAGAUCUGGAGGAACACCGAUGGCGAAGGCAGCCCCCUGGGUUAGCACUGACGCUCAUACACGAAAGCGUGGGGAGCAAACAGGAUUAGAUACCCUAGUAGUCC
rnacentral:rRNA from 1 species